GAUGAACGCUAGCGGCAGGCCUAACACAUGCAAGUCGAGGGGCAGCACAGGUAGCAAUACUGGGUGGCGACCGGCGGAUGGGUGCGUAACGCGUAUGCAACCUACCAUUGAUUGGGGCAUAGCCCGAAGAAAUUCGGAUUAAUACUCCAUAAUAUUCAUCAAAGGCAUCUUUUAUGAAUUAAAGCUUUUGCGAUCAAUGAUGGGCAUGCGUGACAUUAGUUAGUUGGUGAGGUAACGGCUCACCAAAACGAUGAUGUCUAGGGGUUCUGAGAGGAUUAUCCCCCAACUGGUACUGAGACACGGACCAGACUCCUACGGGAGGCAGCAGUGAGGAAUAUUGGUCAAUGGACGCAAGUCUGAACCAGCCAUGCCGCGUGCAGGAUGACGGCCCUAUGGGUUGUAAACUGCUUUUCCACGGGAAGAACCCUCCGACGUGUCGGAGACGUGACGGUACCGUGGGAAUAAGCAUCGGCUAACUCCGUCG
rnacentral:rRNA from 1 species